UUACGGUUAAAACGUUCGAAGUUUAUUCUUGUCCAACACGGGUGCUACUCCUUUAUGAUGGCAGUAGGUCACUGGAUUGUUGCGACUAUAAGACUGGGUGCGCCCGUCGGCCUCGCGGUCGGCGCGGUCGUAGUGUGGCGCUGAUGCCUUUCAUCGGGUGCAGUGUUUCCGCAAGCCCAGCUGCUAUUACCUUGAACAAAUUAGAGUGCAGUAAGCAGGCUAUCCUACGGCCGAGAAUAAUCUUGCAUGGAAUAAUGGAAUAUGACCUCGGUCUUAAUAUUCAUUGGUUUGUAAUCAGAUCAAGAGGUAAUGAUUAACAGAAGUAGUUGGGGGCAUUAGUAUUACGGCGCGAGAGGUGAAAUUCGUAGACCGUCGUAAGACUAACUAAAGCGAAAGCAUUUGCCAUGGAUGCUUUCAUUAAUCAAGAACGAAAGUUAGAGGAUAGAAGGCGAUUAGAUACCGCCCUAGUUCUAACCGUAAACUAUGCCAAUUAGCAAUUGGGAGACGCUACAUUAUGGUGCUCUCAGUAGCUUCCGGGAAACCAAAAUUAGGUUCCG
rnacentral:rRNA from 1 species